rnacentral:lncRNA from 1 species
AGGGACAUAAUAAUUUUUUUGGCUAUAAAUCAUGAUUUUUGUUGUUUCAUCCACGUAGCUUUACUUUCGGUCGAAACUAAAACUUUUUAAGAUAACGUAAUUGACUUAAUCUCACUCACGCCGUAAUCAAUUACAAAAAAAAAUUAAAAUAAUAAAAUAUUAAUUCAUCUUUCAUACAUCCGUUUUUUACGACAUUUAUAUGCUGCAAAACAAACAGUAAAAUUAGAGAAAUUCAGAUUAAACAAUUAUAUUAAAAAAA